AAAGGUCUUGGACCGUCCCAUUCUUUCUACAGACUGGAGUGAACACACAAUGAUUGGACUUCAAGCAGACAGGUUGGACCUGAGGUGGCAUUCAAAAAGCAACAAAGUGCAAGGUAGAAGGACCCUGGAUCCUGACGAUUUUGUGGAGCAGAGCUGCCAUACUAGGUUGUGACUGCGGAAUUCACACCUGUACUCGUCCCGCGGGUAUGCAUAGGUCUCCGAGAUCAGCUUCUGUCAGCUUUGUGAAUUUGGAGUUUCAUUUCUCAGACUCACUUUCUUCUAAUGCACAAUACGAAUGUGGAGUUUUCGUAGACUGGUGUCCAACAGUGCCUGCCUCCUACUUUGUUUGUCCCUCCUUCAACUUCUUUGUCCUAUUCUGCUUUUUAAAAUUUAUAUUGGAAAACUCACCUGGCCUGCUUUCUCCCCACAUAUUUAUAUUUUAUAAUUUUGUUCAAAAAUUUGCUUGAGGUUUAUAUUUUCAGGAAGAGUUUCAUGACUAAUCUUAACUCAUUUUACACUUUGACUUUGUCACCUUGUCCCCGGCUUAUGUAUACAUAUUCAUAUUCAUAUAUAUGAUUAUUUCUCUUCAAGA
rnacentral:lncRNA from 1 species